UACGAAGGGGGCUAGCGUUGCUCGGAAUUACUGGGCGUAAAGGGCGCGUAGGCGGACAGUUUAGUCAGAGGUGAAAGCCCAGGGCUCAACCUUGGAAUUGCCUUUGAUACUGGCUGUCUUGAGUUCGGGAGAGGUGAGUGGAAUGCCGAGUGUAGAGGUGAAAUUCGUAGAUAUUGGGAAGAACACCGGUGGCGAAGGCGGCGAGCUGGCCUGUACCUGACGCUGAGGCGCGACAGCGUGGGGAGCAAACAGG
rnacentral:rRNA from 1 species